UACGUAGGCAGCGAGCGUUGUUCGGAGUUACUGGGCGUAAAGAGUGCGUAGGCGGUUUUCUAAGUUUGGUGUGAAAUCUCCCGGCUCAACUGGGAGGGUGCGCCGAAGACUGGAAGGCUUGAGUAUGGGAGAGGUAAGCGGAAUUCCUGGUGUAGCGGUGAAAUGCGUAGAUAUCAGGAGGAACACCCGUGGCGAAAGCGGCUCUCUGGGACGGUACUGACGCUGAGACGCGAAAGCGUGGGGAGCGAACAGG
rnacentral:rRNA from 1 species